UACGAAGGGGGCUAGCGUUGUUCGGAUUUACUGGGCGUAAAGCGCACGUAGGCGGAUCGAUCAGUCAGGGGUGAAAUCCCAGAGCUCAACUCUGGAACUGCCUUUGAUACUGUCGACUCGUGGAGAUGGAAGAGGUGAGUGGAAUUCCGAGUGUAGAGGUGAAAUUCGUAGAUAUCAGGAGGAACACCAGUGGCGAAGGCGGUGCUCUGGGCCGGAACUGACGCUGAGGAGCGAAAGCGUGGGGAGCAAACAGG
rnacentral:rRNA from 1 species